rnacentral:rRNA from 1 species
UACGUAGGGUGCGAGCGUUAAUCGGAAUUACUGGGCGUAAAGCGGGCGCAGACGGUUACUUAAGCAGGAUGUGAAAUCCCCGGGCUCAACCUGGGAACUGCGUUCUGAACUGGGUGACUAGAGUGUGUCAGAGGGAGGUAGAAUUCCACGUGUAGCAGUGAAAUGCGUAGAGAUGUGGAGGAAUACCGAUGGCGAAGGCAGCCUCCUGGGAUAACACUGACGUUCAUGCCCGAAAGCGUGGGGAGCAAACAGG